rnacentral:ncRNA from 2 species
AAAUACGCUAAGGGGAGCCGAAAGGCUGAGAGUUCUCUUUUUUUUGGGAAGACCCUAACGACCUGACCUGGGUAAUGCCAGCGUAGGGAAGCGGCAAUAAUAGGA